rnacentral:sRNA from 1 species
GCCAGGCACAGUGGCGCAUGCCUGUAAUCCCGGUGCCCUGGGAGGCUGGGGCAGGAGGAUGGGAAUUUGAAGCAGCUUCAGACAUUUAGCAAGGCCCUAAGCAACUCGGCGAGACCCUGUCUCUA